UCUUCCAACUGAUAGAGUGGUACGCCUCCUCUUUCAGCACACUGCUCAUUGGCUGUCUCGAGUGUGUCGUCAUCAACUGGAUAUACGGUUCAAAGAGACUCAGCAAUGAUAUUGAGAUGAUGACAGGAAGGCGAUUUCCAGUGUUGCUCAAAAUCCUGUCAUCCUAUUUAACGCCUUUCAUUCUCUUUGCUUCCCUGAUAUGCUCCCUGUUUCUGUAUGAUCCACCAAGCUACGGCGAGUACAUCUACCCU